rnacentral:rRNA from 1 species
UAAGGAAUAUUGGACAAUGGACGGAAGUCUGAUCCAGCCAUGCCGCGUGAAGGAAGAAGGCGCUCUGCGUUGUAAACUUCUUUUGGACAGGGACAAACCACUCGAUGCGUCGGGUGCUGAGGGUACUGUCAGAAUAAGCACCGGCUAACUCCGUGCCAGCAGCCGCGGUAAUACGGAGGGUGCAAGCGUUAUCCGGAAUCACUGGGUUUAAAGGGUGCGUAGGCGGUUGAAUAAGUCAGUCGUGAAAUUUCUUGGCUUAACCAAAGAGACUGCGAUUGAUACUGUUUAACUUGAAUCAGGAUGAGGCAGGCGGAAUGUGGCAUGUAGCGGUGAAAUGCAUAGAUAUGCCAUAGAACACCGAUUGCGAAGGCAGCUUGCUGGGCCUAGAUUGACGCUGAGGCACGAAAGCGUGGGGAGCAAACAGG